rnacentral:rRNA from 1 species
CAUUAUUGAAAAGGCAACCCUUCGGGGUUCAACCUUAAACCCUUUGUCUUAAUUACCUGUUUCUUUGGCGGGCUUGCCCGUCAGAAGUUUUCUCAAACCCAUUAUAAAAUGUGUCAUCUGAAAUAAAAAACAAAAUAAAUUAAAAACUUUCAACAACGGAUCUCUUGGUUCUGGCAUCGAUGAAGAACGCAGCGAAAUGCGAUAAGUAAUGUGAAUUGCAGAAUUCAGUGAAUCAUCGAAUCUUUGAACGCAUAUUGCGCCCUUUGGCAUUCCGAAGGGCAUACCUGUUCGAGCGUCAUUACACCCCUCAAGUCAAACCUUUCGGUUAGCUUGGUGUUGGGCCUUGCCGGAAGGCAUGCCUAAAAAUCAGCGAUGGUACGUUAAACCACGGACGCACAAAUGUCGUUACGUAGGGGCCACGGCACCAGUCUAAUGAUUAAUUUCUCAAUGUUG